rnacentral:tmRNA from 1 species
GGGGAUGAAAGAUUUCGAUGAAAGGUUCUUUAAAAUGAGGCAAGUUGAGCAUUCUCAAAUCUCAUAAAACUUUGAGAAAACAAAUAAUUGCUAAUUUUUCAAAUAAGCAACCAGCGUUAGCUUUUGCUUAAUGCUGCAUCUUCACCAUUGACUCCUAAUAAAUGAAUGAAGGUGUUAUAUUAUUAGGAUAGGCAGUUUUAUUCCUCGGAUAACUGCCGAGAUUUACGAGGAUUAAGAUAUUAAAAAUUUUGUCUAUUUCUUAUUUAAUAUCUAAAAUACCAAAAUAGACUAAACUUGUAGAAUUAUUUUAACAAGCUUUUCAGACGAGGACUCACCUCCUCCAUCUCCACUA